rnacentral:rRNA from 1 species
UACGUAGGGACCAAGCGUUGUUCGGAUUUACUGGGCGUAAAGGGCGCGUAGGCGGCGAAUCAAGUCAGCUGUGAAAUCUCCGAGCUUAACUCGGAACGGUCAGCUGAUACUGUUUUGCUAGAGUACAGAAAGGGCAACCGGAAUUCUUGGUGUAGCGGUGAAAUGCGUAGAUAUCAAGAGGAACACCUGAGGCGAAGGCGGGUUGCUGGGCUGAUACUGACGCUGAGGCGCGAAAGCUAGGGUAGCAAACGGG